rnacentral:rRNA from 1 species
GAUGAACGCUGGCGGCGUGCCUAACACAUGCAAGUCGAGCGAUUCUCUUCGGAGAAGAGCGGCGGACGGGUGAGUAACGCGUGGGUAACCUGCCCUGUACACACGGAUAACAUACCGAAAGGUAUGCUAAUACGAGAUAAUAUACUUUUAUCGCAUGGUAGAAGUAUCAAAGCUCCGGCGGUACAGGAUGGACCCGCGUCUGAUUAGCUAGUUGGUAAGGUAACGGCUUACCAAGGCGACGAUCAGUAGCCGACCUGAGAGGGUGAUCGGCCACAUUGGAACUGAGACACGGUCCAAACUCCUACGGGAGGCAGCAGUGGGGAAUAUUGCACAAUGGGCUAAAGCCUGAUGCAGCAACGCCGCGUGAGCGAUGAAGGCCUUCGGGUCGUAAAGCUCUGUCCUCAAGGAAGAUAAUGACGGUACUUGAGGAGGAAGCCCCGGCUAACUACGUGCCAGCCGCCGCGGUAA